UGGGGAUAUUGCACAAUGGGCGCAAGCCUGAUGCAGCGACGCCGCGUGAGGGAUGACGGCUUUCGGGUUGUAAACCUCUUUCGCUACUGAACAAGGCCCUGCUUGUUGUGGGGGUUGAGGGUAGGUGGAUAAGAAGCGCCGGCUAACUACGUGCCAGCAGCCGCGGUAAUACGUAGGGCGCGAGCGUUGUCCGGAAUUAUUGGGCGUAAAGAGCUCGUAGGCGGCUUGUCGCGUCUGCUGUGAAAACGCGGGGCUUAACUCCGCGNGUGCAGUGGGUACGGGCAGGCUAGAGUGUGGUAGGGGUGAUUGGAAUUCCUGUGUAGCGGUGGAAUGCGCAGAUAUCAGGAGGAACACCGAUGGCGAAGGCAGGUCACUGGGCCAUUACUGACGCUGAGGAGCGAAAGCAU
rnacentral:rRNA from 1 species